AGGGGCUGCUCACAUUACUGUCAA
rnacentral:siRNA from 1 species